UGCCUGCUCCCCCUCUCGAAUCCUUGGAACCUAGGUGUGAGUGCUGUUCUGAUGCAACACACCUAUUCAAGGAUUCAAAGAGGCUGAGCC
rnacentral:pre_miRNA from 1 species